GCCAUAGGAAAAUACCUUUAAUACACACAUUCAAGGACUAGAACUUAAUUUUUGAAUCUAUACCUCUUUAAAUAUAAGGAGUGGUAUUGAAUUGAAGAUCUCUUAACAUAAUUCUUAUUUGUAAGAGCUUAUUUAUUUCUUUAUUUCUAAGGUUUUUUUUGCAGCGCUAUAUGUGAUAUUUCAUUGCUUGUGUGGCAAUAAAUGUGUUAGCUGUUUAACUUCACCUUAACUCCUCUCUUGAUUUCAAAGUAUACCGCUGUUCGAACCUAGUUAAAUGUUAGUGCCUUUUUGUUACUGUUAUUAGCAAGUGUAGGUGCUACACUAUCAAUUAUUAGUAGAAACAAAUUAAACAGGGUAGCGAAGCCAACAAUUCACUGUGAGCACCUGAAAAACGUGUACCUGUCCGCUGAAGGAAAACUGCAGGGGAGGGUCCGGAGCCGAAUCACCUCAACGUCGGUCGGUUUCUCUGUUCAGGCCCUGAUUCAUGAACAAAUGGCUUUGUCUGCCAGCAGAACUAAUCCCAGGCUCCGCGACACAGCAACCGUUGGUUUAAAGUUGUUCAAAUCGGACUGAAUCGCUUCCCUUUCUUUGUCUUUGCCAGUGCUGUGCUUGCAGUUUCCCAUACGGUCCAGCGGUCAGGAUUCCUGGUUUUCACCCAGGCAGCCCGGGUUUGACUAUUUUUUGCCUAAUAGUUCCUCUGCGCCUUGUUGCUGUUGCUCAAGCGUCUUGUUCUGUUGGAACUAUGACUGCAGUCUAUCAGGGAGCAGCCGACAUGAGCCACCAGUGACUGACCGCUGGGAAGCCGUGAUCGUAUAGUGGUUAGUACUCUGCGUUGUGGCCGCAGCAACCACGGUUCGAAUCCGGGUCACGGCACUGUCCUUUUGUAUGCCAUGCUUGGAAGGUUUCUAUGCUCUCCUCCUUUUUGUCUCUCUAACUCCUUGUGUAUGGUUCUCUGUACCCCAGAUCCAACAAUGCAGCUCUGGUCAAGGUGACAAAGGCUUGUCAGAGUGGAAAGAAGUGGCUGAUGAUGGCGUCAGCUGGUGCUGAGCCUUGCUGUUUCCCAUAUGGUCUUUUUUUUUUUUAUUGGCCUACGGCUCGAUCUCGAUCCAUGGCGACUUGAUGGAUGAACGAUCUGUAGGAAUCUGUUACUGUGAUUGUGUCGAGCCAUCGAGUUGCUGGUCUUCCUCUUCGCCUUGUUCCUUCUAUUUUUCCGACCAUGAUGUCCUUCUCCAGUGAUCGCUCUCUUCGUAUGAUGUGUCCAAAGUAGGCAAGUCGUAGCUUAGGGAUCCUUGAUUCAAGUGACAUGUCUGGCUUGAUUUGUUCCAAAAUUGAUUUGUUUGUUCUUCUGAUCCAAGGUAUUGAUAACAUCCUUCUCCAACACCACAUUUCGAAGGCGUUGAUUCUUCUUCUGUCUUGUUUCUUUAUCGUCCAGGUUUCACAUCCGUACGUUACCACAGAGAAGACUAAACUAUGUACAAGGCGUAUUUUCGUCAAUUGUGAAAUGUUCCUCGAUUUGAAGACCUUGUCCAGUGACUUCAUUGUUGAUUUCCCCAUACCUAUUCUCCGUCUGAUUUCCGGUGUCAUUUCCGCAUCUUGAGUGAUCAACGCUCCGAGUAGGUUGUAGUCCUUUACAACUUCCAGUUCGUCGCCAUCCAUCUCAAAUGUGUCCCGGUCGUAUCUGGCAGUAGUCAAUGUCUUUGUCUUCUUUGUGUUGAGUAACAGCCCCAUGUUCGAGCUUUCCAGCUUGAUGCUCCGUAAUAAGUCCUUCAUUCCAUCUGCACUUGUUGUUAUCGGAGUUGUAUCAUCUGCAUAUCUAAGAUUGUUGAUGAUUCGUCCAGCAAUUUUAAUUCCUUCUUCUUUUUCAGUUAGUCCAGCCUUCCUGAAAAUGGCUUCUGCGUACAAAUUGAAGAGAAAUGGCGACAGGAUGCAUCCUUGUCUACUUUGAACCAUGCCGUGUCGCCGUGUUCUGUUCAGACUGUUGCUUCUUGGUCGGUAUAAAGGUUCCUAAUGAGGCUGAUCAGAUGGCUCGGCACACCCAUAUCCUUCAUGGUAAUCCAAAGUUUCUGGUGAUCAACACAGUCAAAGGCUUUACUGUAAUCAAUGAAGCAAAAAUAAAUCUCCUUGUUGUAUUCUUUGGCCUUUUCCAUUAUCCACCUAAUGUUAGCAAUCACAUCUCUUGUACCUCUGCCCCUCCUGAAUCCUGCUUGUUCCUCCGGCAGCUCUCUGUCAAAGGAAAAGGCUUCAACCGUCUUUGUAAGAUCUUCAGUAGUAUUUUGCUGGCAUGAUGUAUGAGCGCAAUAGUACGAUAGUUUCCACAGUCAGUAACAUCUCCCUUCUUCGGAAUAGGAAUAAACACUGAUCUUGUCCAGUCCUUGGGCCAUUUACCAGUUGUCCAUAUCUGUUGACACAGGCAUGUGAUUACAUCAACUGCUGCUUCAGAAGACUUUAUUAGCUCUAGUGGAAUAUUGUCACAUCCAGGCGCUUUGUUGUUUGACAGAAGUGUAAUCGCAGCGAUGACUUCAUCUUUCAGAAUGUUUGGCUCUCUAUCAUUGCCAGUCUCCAUUUCUUCCCAUAUCACUGAGUCGUUCUUAUAGAGGUGCUCCGUGUACUCUUUCCAUCUUUUCUUGAUCUGUUCUGGCUCAGUUCUCAUUGGCGUCUUUUAGCAUGCCCACUCUUGGUUGAAACUUUCGUCGUAUCUCUUUGAUCUUUAGGUAUACCUUCCUGGUCUUUCCCUUCAGAUGUUCACUUUCUGUCUCUGUACAUAUCUUUUGGUAAUAAAGCUCUUUGUCUGUUCGAAUGGCUCUCUUUAGUCUUUUACUGAUGUUGUCCCUGGCCUGCUUGUUACCUUUUGCCUUUGCCCUUCGUCUUUCUUCAAUGAUCUUUAGAGUCUCUUCUGUUAUCCACGGCUGCUGGGGUCUUUUCUGUCUCUUGUUUAUUGACUUGCUAGCUUCUUCGGUAACAAUAGUCUUUAUAUGUGAACCGGUUGUGCAGACUAUUCCAGAAAACUUCAGGUAUUUUGGUCAAGUCAAAGUUAGGAACAGCCUGUUGUCUAGUCCGUUUGUGCAGCUUGACUCUAAUUUUUGAUGUUAAAAGUUCAUGGUCAGUUCCACAGUCAGCUCCUGGCUGUGUUUUCACGGUAAUGAUAGACGACCUCCAUCUUUGGCAAACACAUAUGUAGUCAAUCUGAUUCUUAUAGGCCCCAUUUGGUGAUGUCCAUGUGUAGAGUCUCCUUUUGUGAUGUUGAAAGAAAGUGUUCAUGAUGGACAGUUGAUUUUUUGUACAAAAGUCAAUUAAUCUUUCUCCAGCUUCAUUUCGUUUGCUAAGUCCAAACUUUCCAACAACAGUUCCUUGUUUGCCAUGGCCCACUUUGGCAUUAAAAUCUCCCAUGAUAAUGAGUAAGUCUUGAUUUGGCGUCCUGUCAAUUUCCUCUUGAACUUGUUCAUAGAAUAGUUCAACGUCCUCCUCCUUGGCAUCUGUUGUUGGUGAGUAGACUUGUAUGACUGUGACAUGGAUUGGUGCUCCUUGUAGUCGUAUCGAGAUGACUCUAUCGCUGACUGUGUUGUACUUCAGGACAGUAUUGGCCAGUCUUCGAUUAAGAAUAAAGGCAACGCCAUUUCGUCUUUGGUUAUCAUUUCCAGAAUAGUAGACCCAAUGUUCGUUUGACUGGAAAUGUCCGGAUUGAGUCCACUUUAGUUCACUAAUUCUGAGUAAAUCAAGUCCUGUUCUGUCCAUUUUGGCUUUGACAAUGUCGAGUUUGCCUUGGUUCAUGGUUCGUACAUUCCAAGUUCCUAGUCUGAUGAUAUAUCUAAUUUGAUCUUCCCUUUCGACCAAGCGACAUCAGCACCAAGACGACCUUGCGGCUUUGAUCCUGGCGCAUCAUAAGCAUUGAUCCUACUCAAGACGACCAUCGGCUCUUCCCCAGUAGCUUGUUGAGUGCCUUUCGACCUAGGGGCGCAUCUUCCAGCACUAUAUCGCAUUCCUUUAGUUGUACGCUACAUCAAGUUUUCUUGGCAUAGUACGGAAGUAGAUUGCCAGGCCUUUCUCCUGCGCAGUAAUGUGGUACCUGUGAGGAGCCACACUGGAUCAGUGUUGUAGCCAUUGUCAAUACGAGAUUGAUAAGAGAUUGAUAAUUUGCUUCCAUCACGCAACGUCCUGCUGCCGACAUUGGGCUGUACGUUUAGUCUGGCACCUCAGUUGAGACCUAUCCCCCUUGGGGGCCCCUGCUAGCAUAAUACACUUGGCUCUAAACUGCUUUUAGCCAGGUGGCCUGCAUUCGACUCCCGGUAUAUGAGGGAGUCUAUCAAGGAGCAGUCAACAUGAGCCACCAGUGGCUGACCACUGGGAAGCUUGAUUGUAUAGUGGUUAGUACUCUGCGUUGUGGCCGCAGCAACCCCGUUUCGAAUCCAGGUCAUGGCACUGUCUUUUUGUAUGCCGUGCUUCUCUCCUCGGUCAAGAGACAGAAAUGGGGCUGGAGCUUCAGGGAGGUCAUGACCACACUCAUGCAGGGGCCAGUGGCGCAAUGGAUAACGCGUCUGACUACGGAUCAGAAGAUUCUAGGUUCGACUCCUGGCUGGCUCGGUUACCUUAUGCCUUUUUUUCUCUCUAACUCCUUGUGUAUGGUUCUCUGUACCCCAGAUCCAACAAUGCAGGUCUUGUUAAGGUGACAAAGGCUUGGCAGAGCGAAAAGAAGUGGCUGAUGCUGGUGUCAGCCGGUGCAGAGCCUUGCAGUUUCCCAUAUGGUCUAGCGGUCAGGAUUCCUGGUUUUCACCCAGGCGGCGGAGUUCGACUCCUGGUAUUGGAAUUGGUCUUUAUGAUUGGACUUGAGCAAAAAUUUGCCUACUCGGCUCUUUGUACGGGGAAUUAGCUCAAAUGGUAGAGUGCUCGCUUAGCAUGCGAGAGGUAGUGAGAUCAAUGCCUGCGUUCUCCAGGUUUUAAAAUUAUGUAGAGAAACAGAUGGACUACAGUCAGUAAUUGUAGAACUACAAAGUGCUUCAAUAUGGUAAGUGGAGCUGAUAAAAUGGACAGUGAGUUUAGAAACAAAGAGGUUGUUUUAAUGUCAUGUUCUAACCCAGGGGUGGGGAACCUUCUACCCACUGAGGGCCAGAUUAAUAAUUACAUAUCUGGUCACGGGCCACAGACUACAAUGACGCAACAUAGAGCCAAAUUAAUAUAGGCUUUAUAAAUACAUGAUGCUGAUGGUAUGUAGUGUUUAUAUUUGAUUUCAGACUUACCUUAUCAUGUGACGGUUGUGAAUGUUUGGUCUUGACCAGCUGUGGAAUAUCUGGGGGCAAUGAUGUCGUGGCAACACGCAACCGGUGGCUCUGACAGAAACCUGUUCACCCUCUCGAGGUUAAAGACUGCAAGUCGAGACUGCAGUGCCAACAAUGCUGCUCCUACUAGAUGUGACGGACACCUGGCGUGUUUGCACCAAAAAUGUCCAGAACUUAAAACGGACUUUAUCACAGACUGGACUGAACAAUGAAGAACUUACAUUAUUUUUUUGCUAGUUACAACUUUCAGUUCAAUUUAAUUUUGUGUUUGUAUGAUUUGUGUAAAUCCUAUUAAUUUAAAGUAUCCUUCAAGCCACCCAAGAAGGACGGGUCCCUGCUGAGUCUGGUUUCUCUCAAGGUUUCUUCCUGAGUUUUUCCCUGCCACAGUCUGUUGGUCCUGGAUUUUGUGAAGUUGCUUUGAGACAAUGUUCAUUGUAAAAAGCGCUAUAUAAAUAAAUUAAGACUUGA